UCGCUCCAUUGGACAGCCCCGUCCAUGCUCGCCCAAUGGGCAGGAGGGAUGUUGUCAGGGAGUGGGCGGAGCCCAGGGCGUGUGGCUCGAGAGCUGAGCGAGACAAGUGGAGGGCACGGCAACCAAUGCCGGCUGCCACAGCGCCCCCGGUAGGGCUGAAUGAGUGGCGUCCGUCCCGUGGCCCUCAGGGCUGAACCGCAGCACAUUUAUGCCGGGUUAGUGGAGCGCGAAGGAAGAAGGAUCACUUGUGGGUGGGGGGAGACUCACAGAAGCGGUGCAAGCUCAACAGGUAGGCAAGGAAGGGCAGAACCCGUAGGCCCAUUUUAGAUCUGCAGUGUAUGUCAGAUGACUGGUGUUUAGGAGAUGAGGAAGAAGCCAUAUUAUCACUUCUGCAAGGAUAAAAAAUCUGAUCCUCCCACUCUCCUUUACAGGUGAUGAAGAAACCAAACCUGAAAAAUAAGUGACACUAAACAGAUUGGCCCUGGACUUUGCUCCGGAUUGUCCAGCAAAUGGCAAAAGCCAGUGGAUGUUAAUCAUAACCGGAAGUGACAGGAUUAAUUUUGAUUUUUAGAAAGUGUAACUAGUAGAGCAUGUGGAUAACUGAGAGAUGAUGAAAAAGGCAGGCACUCUGGGCUGACUUUCAUUAUAAAUAACAGAAGCUCUGCCAAUUCCCUGGCUCUCUUCUCAGCCUCUCCCAGGCCUCUGACAACCCUAGACUCUAAGGUUGAGAAGGGAACUACCUCGGAGACUUUUAUCCAACUCUCAAUAAAUGGAGGAAAACAGCCAUGACCCUGCCUGCCAAUAUGAAUCACAAGCAACAUUAUUACCUUAGCAAGUGUUUGAGCCCCCAGUCUAAAUGUGUAAAGUAAUCUGCUCAGGCUCAAGAAAAUCUCUUUUCCCCUAUCACACUGGAUGUAUGAACACAUGACCAGCAGAGGCCAUCUAACUGAAUGGGUUUUCAUGUCUCCCCUCUCUGCUCAGGUGAUUGCUGCUGUGUUCCUAAAUGCUGAAGGUGAAUGUGAAAGUUUGUUGCCAUCUUUGUAAUGCCUCCCAGCUG
rnacentral:lncRNA from 1 species